UUACACGCGGAAGUUUUCUUUUUCGUUAUUUUGACACUGAAAGUUGUAUUUGUCGUUGUUUCGCACGUACUGCCAUACAUUUUCUCAUCCUUAUCUUCUCUUCCUCAAAGCCAGUUGCUGCCUCCACCGACUCCAAUAUUUUUGCCCUCAACUCUGUUUUCCCUCAAAUUUUCAUUCUCACCUCCAUCGACACACCGUCGUCGACUUCACCUCUUUCUUCUUAUCCCAAAUUGCUCUCAAUUUCAUUUCCUUCCUGUAAAUUUGUGAGGCGGCGAUCCAUGAGGACUGCCUUUGAGGAGCAUAGUUGUUUCGAGUCGCUUCGUCGUAGAAAACAGUAUACCGGAGUUGCUUCAUCGGCGUUGAAGGCGACCGGUGUUGGCCAAGUCCUUCCGUGGAAGUGGUCGGCUAAAGAGGGCAUCCACUCACUCAUUGGUUGUGUCCAUCACACUUUCAUUUGGUUUAUUUUCAGUAUACAUCGAUUACAACAUCACCGUUAUAUGUCCCGCUAACCAGCUUCAGCAACAGCGGGGUUUAGGGCUUUUUAAGAGGAACCCGACUAAGUACAAACUCUUUCCAUCAGUUUCAGGUCGUCGGUAGAGUCCUACCCACAAAGUCAGAUGAGCAUCCUAAGAAGAUACACAUCGAUUGGUCUUUUUUUCUCCUUCUCCACCGUCCGCUGAAUCGAUGUGUUGUUCUGAUUUGAAGCUCACAAACCUUGGGACUGGACCAUGGACGGAAAAAGGUCUAGCAACACUGCUGGAAAGCCUAUCAGGUGCCGAUCUGCGAUUGCUAGGAAACCACAGGAACCGCUGGUGAUCGAGGAAGUGAUAGUGGCUGCACCAAAACCUCGCGAAGUUCGAAUCAAAAUCAUAUGCACUUCGCUUUGCCAUAGUGAUAUCAACUACUGGAAAUUGGAGGUAGAUUGUUGUUUGAGAUCAAAUUUUAAAUCAAUCGAGUGUUUUUGUUGAUGUUAAUUAACGAUUGUUGUUUUCUCCUAAAGCGUCCUCCUGCAAUUUUCCCCAGACAUCAAAAUUAGUAAACUGUUCAUGUUAACUUUGUUGAAUUUUCAUCCUAAUUACAUAAAUUCGUUCAAAUUUUCUCCAUUAAAGGGUUGUAGAGAGUAUCGGUGAAGGCGUACAUGAAGUUGUUGAAUGAGACACUGUGAUUCCAAUGUUUCUGCCAGAUUGUGGUGAAUGUGCAAAUUGUUUGUCCAAAAAAAGCAACCUGUGUUCAAAAUAUCCUUUCCAUUGUACUCCAUGGGUGGGUAGAAAUGAAACAAGCAUAUUCACAGACAUGAAUGGAGAAACUUUAUACCAUUUCUUGCAUGUAUCAACUUUUACUGAGUACACAGUGGUUGAAGUUGCUCGUGUAAUCAAAGUUGAUCCAGCAAUCCCAGCAAACAGAGCCUGCUUCUUUAGUUGUGUGGAAAUUGGAGCAACAGGUUUCAUCUUAAAUUAGGUUGAGUAGAUUUCCCAGAUGAAAUCACUGUUGGUGGAACCUCACCUCAUACACUAACCAGUUUGUUCUUCUUUAUAUCUAUCAACUAUUAUUGACUUUGAAACUCAAAAAUCCAACUGAUCAAUUGUGCAGGUUUACAAAGUAUAUACUAUUGGUGGAAUGUCUGUUUUGGAAGCGACAUAUGCUUCCCAUGACUUUGAAUUAGGUAUUACUCUCUCUAGCUCAUUUUGUGUUGUUCUUCGUUAUAGAUUAUGUACGUAGAGUUACUCUGAAGCUUAAAAUUUGUUAUUUGUUAUUGGAACAAAUCGUUUGACGCCUAUUUUUUGGCUUGAUGAGUAAAAUCAAGUAAGGACUCUGUGAGUAACAAGAGAAAAAUAGAAAGAAGAAAAAAUCAUAGUAAAUUUACUAGAUUCAUAUGCUUAAUGCUUUUCUAAGCUUAAUAAGAUGUUAGGAAAAAGAUAAUCUAUUGUCUUCUUCAUGUCCAUGGCAUAUGUUGUAGCCUCUUAUAUGUGUGUGGUUAAUGUUGAGGGGAUUGUGUUGUCAAACUAUAACUUAUGAUAAUCAAUAUUAAUUAGUUUUAUACAUUUUUUAAUAAUUUGUUUGCUUGGGUAAGUUUUGUAGGAGCUGUAAUUCAACUUCUACUUCAAUUUUCGAUGAAUGGCAAUGUAAGGAAUCAAAAUAUUUGCCUUUAAAGUUGUUAGAUUUUGCAGAUUGGUGAAACAUAUCUGAUAGGGUUUUCUUUCCCCAACUUCUUUUUUAUUUAUUAACAACCCGAUGAAAGUUGAUAGCUUAUUUUAUUUCCUUAUUUUUAUUAGUUUAUUUUAGAUUUUUAGCUCUUUUUAUUAGUAUUGCAUUAUAUAUUCUUUAUUUUCUUUAUCAUGGAUCGUAUCGGAGACUUGUUAUGUUGCAUGAGGAAUUUUGCAAGGUUUUGGAGCUUUUGUGAUUGUGGAUUAGAGUGAAGACGGCUUAGUGGGCUCCCGAGGCAUUUUUGGGCUUGGCGGAAUCAAAGAAGAAGAAUUGGGCUUUUAAAGUUGAUGGCUUGGAUUAUUUGGGCUUGUGAAGAUGGAUCAUAAAUUUCUAAUUUUGGGUUUGGAGCAUCCAUUUGGUAGCUAAAUGAUGAUUGGUGGAUUCAAAUUAUAUGGACCAGGGGGUACCAAAGGAAUCUUUGGUAGUGGAAGGGUGAAGUAGUGGAAUGGUGGACCAAUGGCAACACAACAUCGUUUGCGCGAGUGGAAUUUUCGUCGCACGGGUACCCGCACAACUGCCCAGUUUGGGCAUUUUGGUUAUUUGGCACACCAUAACCUUGGGGGAUCAGAUCUAUCAGCUACAUUGACGAUUUUUCACCAUUGGAGAUCUGCAAGAGGCGAUUUUGGGAGCUAGAAACCAUUUCCUUUCAUCUUUCCAAAUCUUAGGUAGUUUCUUUAUGCAAUUAGAUUAUUGUUCUUGUUACUUUGUUGCCAUGAGUGGUUAAUACUCUUAUUUGGUUGACUUUGGCUGAAAACCAAUGAAUGUUUGUGGGUUUUGAAGGAUUUAUGUUGAUUAUCC